ACCCCAAUUCAUUCGAUCCGAAGCUGUAUCCAAGACGUCACCUCAUCAAGUAUAAAAAAUAAAAAAUCGAAGUUUAGUUUUUUGACUGUGGUGACACCUAAAAAAAUACGAAAAUGCAAUAUUCUAAAUCUUUGGUGAUGAUCCUUGUUAUAUUGGCACUGAUUUAUGGUGCAAUGGCUACUUGCGACGGUUCUCCUUGUGACUUUUAUAAUAAUGAGGGAGAUCCGAGUGCAGGCACCUGUUGCACAAAUUAUAAAUGUGGAGGUAAUAAUAAGUGUUAUAAGCCAUAAAAAAAUGUUGUAAAUAUUCCUCGUAAUAAAUGAAUGUAUUGUUAAACUAAA